rnacentral:misc_RNA from 1 species
GUAGGUGAACCUGCGGAAGGAUCAUUAUCAAACGUAUCCACGUUUAAUAACCAAUCGUGAACUGUUUUACUGCCUCCAUCAGUGAUGAAUGAGUUUGCUUUCAUUUGACGCCCGAAAUUUGUGUGGAUUUUAUUCAUACAUUUUUUGGAGAACCUCUUUCAUUGAAAAGUGGUUUUUAGGUUCUAGUCAAUGUGAUUGCCUACAGUACGGCUGCAUUCAUUAUUGUUGGUUGUAAUUUUUAAACUACUUU